UAGGGAAUCUUCCACAAUGGGCGAAAGCCUGACGGAGCAACGCCGCGUGUGUGAUGAAGGGUUUCGGCUCGUAAAACACUGUUGUAAGAGAAGAAUGACAUUGAGAGUAACUGUUCAAUGUGUGACGGUAUCUUACCAGAAAGGAACGGCUAAAUACGUGCCAG
rnacentral:rRNA from 1 species